UACGAAGGGGGCUAGCGUUGUUCGGAAUUACUGGGCGUAAAGCGCGUGUAGGCGGUUGUCCAAGUUGGAUGUGAAAGCCUUGAGCUUAACUCAAGAAAUGCAUUCAGGACUGGAUGACUAGAGGACCGGAGAGGGUAGUGGAAUUCCCAGUGUAGUGGUGAAAUACGUAGAGAUUGGGAAGAACACCAGUGGCGAAGGCGGCUAUCUGGACGGUUUCUGACGCUAAGACGCGAAAGCGUGGGGAGCAAACAGG
rnacentral:rRNA from 1 species